AACGAACGCUGGCGGCAUGCCUAACACAUGCAAGUCGAACGAGACCUUCGGGUCUAGUGGCGCACGGGUGCGUAACGCGUGGGAACCUGCCCUUAGGUUCGGAAUAACUCCCCGAAAGGGGUGCUAAUACCGGAUAAUGUCUUCGGACCAAAGAUUUAUCGCCUUUGGAUGGGCCCGCGUUGGAUUAGCUAGUUGGUAGGGUAAAAGCCUACCAAGGCGACGAUCCAUAGCUGGUCUGAGAGGAUGAUCAGCCACACUGGGACUGGGACACGGCCCAGACUCCUACGGGAGGCAGCAGUGGGGAAUAUUGGACAACGGGCGAAAGCCUGAUCCAGCAAUGCCGCGUGAGUGAUGAAGGCCUUAGGGUUGUAAAGCUCUUUUACCCGGGAUGAUAAUGACAGUACCGGGAGAAUAAGCUCCGGCUAACUCCGUG
rnacentral:rRNA from 1 species